rnacentral:rRNA from 1 species
AUUGAACGCUGGCGGCCGGCCUAACACAUCCAAGUCGGGCGGAGCGGCGGACGGGUGAGUAAUGCCUAGGCAUCUUCCUGGUAGUGGGUGAUAAAGUGCGGCAACGGGCGCUAAUACCGCACAAUCUCAGAUGACCCUUGGUCGGCUUAGCUAGUUGGUGGGGUAAAGGCCUACCAAGGCGCAUAUCUGUGACUGGUCUGAGAGGAUGAUCAGUCACACUGGAGCUGCGACACGGUCCAGACUCCUACGGGAGGCAGCAGUGGGGAAUAUUGGACAAUGGGCGAAAGCCUGAGCCAGCCAUGCCGCGGGUGUGAAGAAGGUCUUCGGAUUGUAGAGCACUUUAGGUUGUGAGGCGUUACCAACAUAAUAAACACCGGCUAACUUCGUGCCAGCAGCCGCGGUAAUUC